UCCCCACUGCAGGUGCAGGCUGAACACAAGACAGCACAUGGGACAGAUGAGAUAGUGUGACUCCCCGUCUGUGCUCUCUGCCCCUCUCAAG
rnacentral:miRNA from 1 species